rnacentral:rRNA from 1 species
GUGGGGAAUAUUGGGCAAUGGGGGAAACCCUGACCCAGCAACGCGGCGUGAGGGAAGAAGGUUUUCGGAUUGUAAAGCUCUGUUAAUCGGGACGAAAGAGCCUAGUGUGAAUAAUGCUAGGAAGUGACGGUACCGGAAUAGAAAGCCACGGCUAACUACGUGCCAGCAGCCGCGGUAAUACGUAGGUGGCAAGCGUUGUCCGGAAUUAUUGGGCGUAAAGCGCGCGCAGGCGGAUCUGCCAGUCUGUCUUAAAAGUUCGGGGCUUAACCCCGUGAUGGGAUGGAAACUACAGAUCUAGAGUAUCGGAGAGGAAAGUGGAAUUCCUAGUGUAGCGGUGAAAUGCGUAGAUAUUAGGAAGAACACCAGUGGCGAAGGCGACUUUCUGGACGAAAACUGACGCUGAGGCGCGAAAGCCAGGGGAGCGAACGGGAUUAGAAACCCCGGUAGUCC